GUCGAUAUGGUGAAUUGCACUUAUUUUAAAAUAUCAUUUCUUGAUAGAACCUGUAUAUUAAUAUUAUGUUCAAUUUGUUUAACUUCCAUGCUCUUGAGCUAAAUCUGUUUCAAGGACCAAUAUCUAUGUGUAGAAGAAAAAUAAGUGUUAAGAGGUGUAAUAAUUUCUUUCGCCAUUUAUAGCUAUGUGAAGGCUUAUCUCCUUCCCAGAUGAAGACACACCAGUAAAUAAUAAUAGUUGCCUUGGCUUUUGUUUUACUCAUAAUUUUUCUUGUUACCCCUCUUGCAUUUGGCUUUGUUUUAAUUUACCUAAGCGAUAUUGUUUUUCCUAUUUGGUAUAAGGGGCAGAGGAGAAUAAUUUGUUUAGUGUUUCGUGCUAUCCUAAUCAUCAUCCUAUCUGGUCAUUGCUAAAAAAAACUGAAGGAAAAACUAAUUUAAAAACUAUAGAUAGAUAGAUAGAUAGAUAGAUAGAUAGAUAGAUAGAUAGAUAGAUAGAUAGAUAGAUAGAUAGAUAGAUAGAUAGAUAGAUAGAUAGAUAGAUAGAUAGAUAGAUAGAUAGAUAGAUAGAUAGAAAAUGUCAGAUUUGCUCUGCUCUAUCUUCCUCGGUCCUUGCCUGCAUGCAAACGAGGAUUUGGAGGUAUAGGCCAAGAAGCACGGUAGCACCACCAGGGAUAGAGCCAGUGGGUAGGCAGGCAGUCUGGUGGAAAGUUGUUCCAGCUAGGAGGUGCUGCCCAGUGCCAGGAUAGACCCAGUGGUCUUGGCCAUGCAGAGAUGGAGGCAGGCAGUCUCUCCGGUGAAGGUCAGGGUGGGGGGAGAGUAGUCAACUCAGCAGAGCGGUUCUGGGUCUGGGUUGAGGAGAAUUUCCCCUCCAACCCAGGCCUCAAUGUAACAGCUCUGACCUGUGCUCUUUUAAGGAAACAUUCAGAUCCAUUGCCUGGAGGGAAAAAACAUUCCUGCUGGUUGCCUCAGAGAUGGCAAUCCAGAGUCAGGAAGCAGUGUACGGCAAGUUUUAGUUACACCCUCAGAGAGAGCGGGCCACCCUGUCUAGGGACUGGCGCUGGCUCCAACUGGUUCUCUCCUUAUAUUCUUAUAUCGUGGACCUGUUUGGAACCCUCUUCUCUUGCCCCAGGCCCACUAAUUUCCUGUCCCGACCCCCCUGUGCCUUGCCUAUAUAAGGGGGAACGUUUGGAUCCUCUGAUUGGUUUCAGGCAAGGAUGCUUAUUUGCAUGGGAAAAAGGUUAUAGGGAGAUGCUCCAAAGAGCAUUCCUCUGAUAUCUGCAUGUGUCUUCAUUGUUCAAUCGCAGGCCUCCUGUUUCGGUACGGUAACCAUAUGUGGCCUGUUUUGAAUCAAGCAGAUCAGAGUCCCUAUCCUAUCCUACCUAACAGAUAGAUAGAUAUGAUACAUUUCUCAAUAAUAUGAUUAUAACCCAAGAUCUACUUUUCUACUUCUCCUUAUCAAAGCUUACAAUUGAUUUAGGUAUCUAAAGUUGUUGACCAGGCUUCUUUAAAAUGAAUACAUUUUGAUAAAACUACUAGUUAUUGGUUUAUGAAUCUAAAAUUCAGUGUAUUUUACUUUCCACUAAUCAGAAAAACAAUAAUUGUUAAUAAGAUCACACAAUUUCAACUAUAAUGCCUUGAACACCAAACCCCCCAAAAUCAAUCUGAUGAUCUUUGGGAGCAUAGUGACUGUGAUACUAUAUUAAAGGGGCAUCUUGUGUAAUGAACCUUUUCUGUUUCUUGAUCUGUGUGGUACCAUAGGUGUAUCCACUUUGAGAAAAUCCAGGGAUAUGUCCACUUGUAAGUUGGGCACUUUUGUGUUUUUAACUUCAAACUUUCAACAAAAAGUUUCCUUAAAAAUCAGGUUGAUAAUGUUAAGGCCUUGAGAAAGCCUGAUGAACAUAUCCAUGAUGGUGAUAUAGCCGUUAUUACACAUAAGGUACUGCUCUAGACACAUUGCAUGACUUUUGUGUGUGUGUGUGUGUCUUUUUUUGAGGGGGGGGUACACCUGAAGUUCCCAGGCUAGGGUUCAAAUUGGAGCUGUAGCUGCUGGCCUACACCACAGCCAUAGCAAUGCCAGAUCAGAGCCACAUCUGCGACCUACACCAUAGCUCAUGGCAAUACCAGAUUGCUGACCCACUAAUCCAGGCCAGGGAUCAAACCCGCAUCCUCAUGGAUACCAGUCAGGUUCACUACUGCUGAACCACAAAGGGAACUCUAACAUUGCACGGCUUAAUUAAUUUAAUCUUAAAUCAACCCUACGAGGAAGUUCCAAUUAUUACCCAACUUUAUGAACAAAGAAGCUGAUACUCAGAUAGUUAUAUAACUUGCUUGAGAUCAUGCACCAAGUGCGUGAGGUUUGGAAUCCAGAAUUUGUAGCUUCUGGGUGUCAGUGCUUAGCUCCCUCUCAUAAGAUGGUAGUACAUUC
rnacentral:lncRNA from 1 species